CCUACGGGGGGCUGCAGUGGGGAAUAUUGGACAAUGGGCGAAAGCCUGAUCCAGCCAUGCCGCGUGUGUGAAGAAGGCCUUCGGGUUGUAAAGCACUUUCAGUGGGGAAGAAAGCCUUGGGGCUAAUACCCUCGAGGAAGGACAUCACCCACAGAAGAAGCACCGGCUAACUCCGUGCCAGCAGCCGCGGUAAUACGGAGGGUGCGAGCGUUAAUCGGAAUUACUGGGCGUAAAGCGCGCGUAGGCGGUCUGAUAAGCCGGUUGUGAAAGCCCCGGGCGCAACCUGGGAACGGCAUCCGGAACUGUCAGGCUAGAGUGCAGGAGAGGAAGGUAGAAUUCCCGGUGUAGCGGUGAAAUGCGUAGAGAUCGGGAGGAAUACCAGUGGCGAAGGCGGUCUUCUGGACUGACACUGACGCUGAGGUGCGAAAGCGUGGGUAGCAAACAGGAUUAGAUACCCCAGUAGUC
rnacentral:rRNA from 1 species